rnacentral:rRNA from 1 species
GACGAACGCUGGCGGCGUGCUUAAUACAUGCAAGUCGUACGGUCAGGCCCUUUCGGUGGUACUCGAGUGUUGACCGGGUGCGUAACACGUGCGUAACCUGCCCACACCUUUGGGACUGCGCUAGGAACCUGGUGCCAAUACUAGAUAUGUGCUCUUUCUUCAUGGUCGGGGUUCGAUAGCUCCGGCGGUUGUGGAUGGACUCGCGGCCUAUCUGCUUGCUGGUGGGGUAGUGGCCUACCAAGGCGGCGUAGGGUAGCCGGCCUGAGAGGGUGACCGGCCACAUUGGGACUGAGGUACGGCCCAGACAGCGACGGGAGGGAGCAGGGGGGAAGAUUGCACAAGGGGCGCAAGCCGGAUGCAGCAGCGCCGCGGGCGGGAUGACGGCGUUCGGGUUGAAAACCGAUUGCAGCAGGGACGAAGCGUGUUGUGACGGUACCUGCAGAAGAAGCACCGGCUAACUACGUG